GAUGACGUAAGGCCGGGCACAGAAGCUGCUGUUAGUCACGUGAGCGCCAGUAAAGGGGCGGGGCCACUGGUAAACGCUAUAUAUAUUCCUGCCGCCCAGUAACAGCCCUAGUAUUGAGCAGAAUGCGGAGUGUUAUAGCGGGACUGUGAAACUGAACCUCUGCAGUCUGUAUCGGUAUAAACCGAUUCUAUACAUUCGCCUUUUGGCUGCUUGGUGUUUGUUUUGCUCUAGCGUGAGGAUCCAUAAGAGACGUGUCCAUUCAGAGUCGUUGUCGCUCUACAGACAGGGAAGGACAUCAGCGCCGACAUGUUGGUGCAGAAAUCAGAGAGAAAUGGCCAGUUGGCACCUUAUCAUCAGGCCACCUUACCCCUGGCUCGUUUUGGCAUGAUCUUUUGACGCAAACCUGGGUUCCCCAAAACCACGGAAAUGGUGGCAAAAAUAGAAACGUUCAACUCAUGUAAAAAAAUAAUCAGGCUUUGAAAUAAAAAAACAAACCAAUCCGAAA